UGAGGAAUAUUGGUCAAUGGGCGCAAGCCUGAACCAGCCAUCCCGCGUGCAGGAAGACAGCUCUAUGGGUUGUAAACUGCUUUUCCGGAGGGAGAAUAAUACCGACGUGUCGGUAGAUGACGGUACUCCGGGAAUAAGCAUCGGCUAACUCCGUGCCAGCAGCCGCGGUAAUACGGAGGAUGCAAGCGUUAUCCGGAUUUAUUAGGUUUAAAGGGUGUGUAGGUGGAUAUAUAAGUCAGCGGUGAAAGUCUGUAGCUUAACUAUAGAAUUGCCAUUGAUACUGUAUGUCUUGAGUAUGGUUGAGGUAUGCGGAAUGUGUAAUGUAGCGGUGAAAUGCAUAGAUAUUACACAGAACACCGAUUGCGAAGGCAGCAUGCUAAGCCAUUACUGACGCUGAUGCACGAAAGCGUGGGGAUCAAACAGG
rnacentral:rRNA from 1 species